rnacentral:sRNA from 1 species
GAUUUGCGUGAGGGAUAGAGGCGAUAUCCUUUUUUAGGCUUUUUUCAGCCUGAAAAAGAUAAAGCCGAAAGCCCGGUCGCUU